AUGUACAGCUCGUACACUGCGGUUCUGAGCGCGCCGCCCGCACCCACCUGAUGACUGCUCGCACCGUCUUGUUAACC
rnacentral:sRNA from 1 species